AAAGAAAGGCAGAGCCUGGGAACUAGUAUUUCUGCAGAAGCAGUGGUUUGAAACCCAUUGUAUGAAGACUGUUAGCCACACUGACUUUUAUUUAAAAGCAAAGAUUUCACCUUUUUUUCUUUUAAGGCGCUGGUACUGUUACAAUUUCUUCUGUUCUGAGUACAGCAGGAGCAAUCACCUUCAUGGACAUGGGCUGAAGCGGCCACCCAACAGAACCAAAGGAGAGCGCAUACACAACCUGCAGAGCAUGGACAUGGUUGUCAGGCAAAUUUCCAUUACUUCAGCCUUGAGUUUGCAAUCUUAUCAGAUUUCAGAUUCUGCAGAACUGAGUUCCUUAAUGGGUCUUACAUUUGUAAUGUUUAAUUUUUACAAGUUCCCAGCUGCCGUGAAGAAGCCUCUGCAGUACUAGGGGAGGAAAAAAGUUGCUGUCCAAGGAUUGCAUAGCUACAGCUAAUAGGAGAGCAACAGCAAGGCAAAAUAAGAAAGGAGAGAGGAGAGACACAGACUGCUGCUGCAGACGUUUGUCUGUAUAUUACUCAUUGUGGCUGCUGGUCUACUUGGCCCUGUGAUCAACUGAAGAAAUCCAGAGAAAAAGUACGGAAAGCAUUAUGCAGCAGAAAGUGCACAAAGAAGAUCCAAUUCACAUCAAUCUAGACAAGCAGUAUUUCUGAAAGGCUCUGGAAUUUCUUUUCUGGAGUCCACAAAACAAAAAGGAUGAGAAGCACAAGUACUCUCUUCUGAUUAUACAUAUAUCUUCUCAAAAAAAAAAAAAAAAACAACAAACAAGUGCCUGAAGAUUUUAUCGAAAAUUAAAUCAACUUUCUACAGCAGAAAACGAGACACUCUUGGUUUUGUAGCACUGCACCAAACCGUUAACCCUAAACAGAGAAAUAGUGAUUAAUUAGCAAUACUUAUGCUAAUAAGUGUACAUCAUCACAAAUACAGUAUCUGCUAAGUAUCUGUUUACUUAGUGCAGCAAAACAUCUGGAAGUCAUUACUUAAUUCCUUUUCAUCAUCCAUGAAAUAUAUCACCACUAUGUAGGAGAAGAGAACACUGCUUGAAUUUAGUGAAAGGACAACGACGCAACAAGAUGAAAAUAAAAUAUGCCUCUAGGGAUCAGGAGACGGAAGAAGAGUGCAGGAAAGAAAUACAAAAUAAGUGAUCAUGGCUAUUUUGUGCACCAGACAAAUGGACUCUUCUUUCAUUCAAUUUAUUACAUCUAAUUAUCAAAAUAAUCUUUUUUUAAGCCACAGAAACUGCUACAAAAUAUCAUUAAAUAUCAUCUCUGAAACAUCAUUAAGUAUCAACCACAAGUAUCUACAACAUAAAAGCUUUAUAUCACAUCUUCCACAUGACAGACUUUGUCUUACAAGAGAAAACAAAAAACAACUGUAUAUUCAUAAAUCUGUUGUAUGCCCUUCGAGUGAUGCAAGUUUUUAUGACUACAAGGGUCUGCAAACUUAGCGAUUCUCAUUUAUUUUACUUAAUUCUUAAAAAAAAAAAAAAGUCCUCGAAGGUGUCACUCUAAUCCUGAAACACCUUUUCCCAGAUGAAGUUAAGGGUCAUGAUAUCAACAAAGUAUUGGGUAACAACGAGUAACUUGAGAGUAAACUGAGAUUUAAUUUUUCAAAGACCCAUAAAUGUGAAAAAUAGGGUAAACCCUUCUAAAAAUGACAGCAACUACCCUGCAAGAAGAAAAAUAAAAUUCAGUGAAUUAGGAUUACUGAAUUCAACUUAUUAAAUAUAUAUUUUUUCUUAUCAAAUGUGGUAUAAAAUAUCAAAUCUAAAUGAACGUAGUGGUUGUCCUGGUGUCAGUUGGGACAGAGUUAAUUUUCUUCCUAGUAGCUGGUAUGGUGCUGUGUUUUGGAUUUAAGGAUGAAAACAUUGUUGGUAAUUUGCUGAUGUUUUAGUUGUUGCAGUGCAGUGCUUACACAGAGCCAAGGACAUUCAGCUUCUCAUGCUGCCCUGCCAGUGAGGGGGCUGAGAGUGUACCAGGAGCUGGAAGAGGACACAGCCAGGACAGGUGACCCAGACAGGCCAAAGGGACAUCCUUUGUUUUAUUUUUGUUUUAUUGUUUUUACAGUGGUGUGCUGAACAAUAAAACUGGGAGGAGUUGUCCAAGGUGUGCAUGGGGCUGUUACUCAGGAACUGGUUGGACAUCAGUAGGCUGGUGGUGAGCAAUUGUGUUGUGCAUCACUUGUUUCCUUGUUUUUUGUUUUUGUUUUUCAUUUCUUUUUUUUUCCUUAUUAAACCAUCUUUUUCUCAACCUAUGAGUUUCUGCACUUACACACUUUCAAUUCUCUCCUCUGUCCCCCUGUGGAGGGUGGUAAGGAACAGCUGUGGGUUGCUUAGCUUCCUGCUGGGUUAAACCACAACAGUGGCACUAAACUUGAAUUCUGGGAAACUGCACAAUAAAAAACAGCAUACAAAUCCCUAGAAAGAACUGGAAACAGCAACUGAAAAAGAAACAUAGCUUUCAUGAGCUCAUUGCCCUGUAAAAUGCCUAGAGAAAUUCACAAGUUCACUCAAAAUUAUCUAACACAAUGGUUCAUUAUGUCAGGUAGUCACAUCCUUAGAAAUCCCAUGCAUAGGCUACCAAAGAAAUACAGGCUAUGUUAACCAAUAACUUGGAAUCCAGCAGUGGCAGGCCUGACUGCAGGCAGAGGUCAAGCAAACCACUACCUUACAACCUCUAAAAAAAAAAAUAAAUCAUGCAUUCAACAAAAACUCAACACAGCUCAUCAACACCUUGUUCUACACAAAAGCCAGAAUUCACAUCCCAAGACAGAAAUAGCAUAACAGAAAAUGAAUUUUAUUUGUUGCUGGCAUAAAGGGAAGAAAAGUAGAUUGAAAAUGAAAAUUGCUGUCUCUUACCCAGCCAGUAAAUGGCAGUAUUCCUGGACCAGCCUCCUCUAACUGUGCUGAAUCUGCUGUCUCUAAACAAAGAUCCGACAAGUUUUCAUGGAUUUGUAUGGAAGCCAGUCACUUUCAUGGCACCUUAAUACGAGAUAACUCUAAAUACAAAGUUCCUUCAUCUUCACUGUUUCUACAUCCAUGUAUACCUAAGCAGUGCCUCUAUACAUGGUCUUCCUCAAUACAGAGGUCACCUCACUAUCUGUAGAGCACCACUGUCUCCUUCCUCUUUCCUCAGAUGGUGUGUAGAUAUUUAAAGACAAUGAAGAUUUGAAGUACUCUAUCCAGGAAUUUAAGCUCCUGGAAAAUGACUAUCCACUUCACCCCUACUACAAAGUAAGGGGGGAAAAAAAUUAAAAACACCUUAUGCACCAUAUAAAGAAAUACAGUAAAACUUGUAGCAAAUGAGAAGUUUUUACAGCAAAAUGCUGCAGAACACUUAUGAACACAUUGCAGCUACACAGCAUGUCAUGUUUUCCUCUGCAUCUGUACCAAUUAAUUUGCCUGUAACACAUUAAAAACUCUGAAGAUACCACGUAUGCUCAAAUCAUAUUUAUUUCAAUUCUUUUGAGGUUUCCUGCUUGAAUAUAGAUGUUUCUGGAAGAGAAGAUAGACAGGUAGCUUCUAGGUAGAGCUGGAACGAAGACACAAGGGCUGAGCAGGCACAGCACCUUUUGCUGGCUUCAAGGCUGAGGAAAUGCACGGCUCACAGGCAGGUACCAGAGAUGUCACUGAUUGAUUUAGGGCAAAGAAGCCUAACUCACUUCUAUGUGGCUGGCCUCUAAAGCAAACGUUUCCUUACUGGCUGAUGAGCAUCCCAGAAGACACAUUUCUCACUAUUAUAAAGGGUUUGCAUGCUACUUAAUCAAGCUGGGCAGCCAAUAAGCAUACAUAUGCUAAUUAAGCAUGUAGGUAAUAGAAACAAAAAAGCUUCUUCCCAGUUGGUAUCUAAUCAAGUAUCAAACAUUUUGUCUACACACAUAGCUAACUGUCAGCCUAUGAACUACACAGUGUUAUUUAACUUGGGAGGGCAAUCACCAAAGUGGGUGCAGGCAGCAGCCUGUAAGUGAGGAGGGAAUUAGGGAGACACAAGGGUGGCUAUGGUAAGAAAGAUGAGGCAUGAGAUGCUCAAGAAUUACUAACAGAAAGAAGGGAAAGGCUGCAAAUGCAGUAGGAAGGGGAGAAUACAGCCUUACAGAACCUUUCAUGGCCUAUCCACUUAAUUAGAAAUUAUUUACACACAGGAAAAAUAUGUAGGCAAAAUACUUCCCAAGGAUGUUGUAAAUAUUCUGAGACAUGCAUUAUACAUUGGGGAACUGGAGAUACAUUUAUGAGCACAGUCAGAUUUCAAAUAGCAUACUUAACACACACAAACACACACACAAAAAAACUUUGCAACUGCACUGUAGCAAAGUCAGUAUCUAUAACAGCAUCAUGAAGUGAUGCACCUUAUUAUAAGGUCCAAGUGGGUUUCAAGAUUGGUUUUACUUUUUUUUUUUUUCUCCUUAGUAUCUUCUCACCAUAUUAUGUACUUAUUUCUAUAUGAAGAUAACCAGUAUGGUAAAUCAGAAUUGUCCAGAUACACGCCAAACAGUGCGUCAAAUGCUUGCCGUGACUUUACCAGGAACUCAGGCAGCAAGACUUGGUGGUCUCUCAGAAGUACCUACAGGAUAGACCAGAAUGCCUAGAGACAACCUGCCUGCUGCUUUGGGUGCAGUAUAAAUAGCAUCAGAAAUUUAUAACCUGGCAAGGAUGCCAGGCAGCAGUACCAGUUCCUAUGCUGCUGUGGCACCCAGCACUGCCUGUCCCUGGAUGCUCCUAAGUGAAUACGUGCUCCAGCUCACCUGCAUCAGUGGGCAACACUGCAAGGGCACAGAUGGACACUGUGGCUCUUCAUGAGCACACUUCUCUCUCUAUGAUUGAGAGAUUUUAAACAAGAAUUUUCUGUCCAAAAGUUCAGGAUAACAAUUGGAUAAUGGUUCUACAAAAGCACCUUCUUGAAAAGACACUGCUCGGGCUAAAUGAAAAAAUAAACUAGAUCUACAUGUCAAUAAUUUCAGCAAGAUAAAAAUAACCCAAGAGGAUCAACUGAAAGCAUAGAUAAACAAGGGACUGAUGCUUUAAAUGUCACAGAUUUGUCACAAAAGUACAUGCUCUUCAAGAAACUCACUGGAGCAGUUCUUGUUUUUCCCUUAUUUAACUUACAGAACUCCAGGAAAUAAAAUUUCAUGGGACGACUUUCAACAAAGAAGUCCAUUUUUGACAGAACUCCUAAUGAAAUAACUAUAUUAAACUUUACCACUCACAUAUGAAAACACAUUCUAACUUCUGUGUUGUUUUUUUUGUUUGGUUGGUUGGUUUUGUAUUGCUCUUCCAGAAUGCAACAACUAAAUGUUGUGGUUUUUUUUUUCCUAAACUUCUCCAUUGUUCUUAAUUCUACAGCGGAUUUCUCACAAGAUUUUAAUAAAACUUUGUAUUGAACUUAUUACAUAGCAUGACAAUAUACAACCUAUAGUUAGACACGUGAGAAAGGGUUUAUCUCAUAUCUGGAAAUAAUCUAGUUAAUGAUAACAAAAGCCUUAACAAGAGAAGCAAGACAAUUAAUGGAAAUUCUCCCCUGGUAACAGAACAGUGUGCUUUGGACUUGGGUGUUUCAACCAGUACAACCACUCAACAUUGGGAAUGACUCAACUGUCUCUAAGGAGCAUGACAUCUGUGAUUAUUAUUGAUAAAUACGUUCUUGUCUUGGGCUGAGCGCAUAAUUUAUUUCAAGAGAAGUGAAAAAUCUUCUUUAAAAUUAAAUUAUAUCAGUCUCCACUCUGUGGGUUGAGCAUUGUAUGCACGUAUGCACUCCCAGAGGACACACUGUACUAGGUACCCAACUGAAUGUCCCAAUAAAAAAUUAAACGAGGACAUAUGUGCUUAACGGAUUGGGCCCAGGGAUACGUUUCCUUACACUAGAAUAAGGUAGAAUGUCUUUCUUAUUCUAUCGCUGCUUAUUAGUAGCAAGGAUGUAUUAAAAAUAAAUGCUUAUAUAAAGAAAAGCCAAGUAUUUAUCAUCUGUUCAACACUAUGUCAAAACUCCGUCUUUUCCCUCAAACAAGAGAAAUAAGUUUUAAAAUAAAAUAUUGAAGAGGAAACUGUUCCUAUCAAUAUUGUACUUCUGGUAAUAAAGCCUGAGAUUAACAAAAUCGAUUUAGAAGCCCA